rnacentral:rRNA from 1 species
CCUACGGGAGGCAGCAGUGGGGGAUAUUGCACAAUGGGGGAAACCCUGAUGCAGCGACGCCGCGUGAGUGAAGAAGUAUUUCGGUAUGUAAAGCUCUAUCAGCCGGGAAGAAAAUGAUAGUACCUGACCACGAAGCCCCGGCUAACUACGUGCCAGCAGCCGCGGGCAUACGUAGGGGGCCGGCGUUAUCCGGAUUUACUGGGUGUAAAGGGAGCGUAGUCGGUUAUGUAAGUCUGGAGUGAAAGCCCGGGGCCCAACCCCGGGACUGCUUUUGAAACUGGGUAACUGGAGGACAGGAGGGGCAGGCGGAAUUCCUGGUGUAGCGGUGAAAUGCGUAGAUAUCAGGAGGAACACCGGCGGCGAAGGCGGCCUGCUGGACUGAAACUGACGUUGAGGCUCGAAAGCGUGGGGAGCAAACAGGAUUAGAUACCCGAGUAGUC